CCUACGGGUGGCAGCAGUGGGGAAUAUUGGACAAUGGGCGAAAGCCUGAUCCAGCCAUGCCGCGUGUGUGAAGAAGGCCUUCGGGUUGUAAAGCACUUUCAGUGGGGAAGAAAGCCUUGGGGCUAAUACCCUCGAGGAAGGACAUCACCCACAGAAGAAGCACCGGCUAACUCCGUGCCAGCAGCCGCGGUAAUACGGAGGGUUCGAGCGUUAAUCGGAAUUACUGGGCGUAAAGCGCGCGUAGGCGGUCUGAUAAGCCGGUUGUGAAAGCCCCGGGCUCAACCUGGGAACGGCAUCCGGAACUGUCAGGCUAGAGUGCAGGAGAGGAAGGUAGAAUUCCCGGUGUAGCGGUGAAAUGCGUAGAGAUCGGGAGGAAUACCAGUGGCGAAGGCGGCCUUCUGGACUGAAACUGACGCUGAGGUGCGAAAGCGUGGGUAGCAAACAGGAUUAGAUACCCGGGUAGUC
rnacentral:rRNA from 1 species